AAUCAACGCUGGCGGCGUGCCUAACACAUGCAAGUCGAACGCGAAAAGCCCUUUCGGGGGUAAGUAGAGUGGCGUCCGGGUGAGUAACACGUAGGUAAUCUACCUUCGGGUGGGGAAGUAACUCGCCGAAAGGCGAGCUAAUACCGCAUAAUGCAGCGGCACCUAAUGGUGAUUAGUUGUUAAAGCGGGGGAGUCGUAAGACCUCGCGCCUGAAGAGGAGCCUGCGGCAGAUUAGCUAGNGGUGAGGUAAUGGCUCACCAAGGCUUCGAUCUGUAGCUGGUCUGAGAGGACGGCCAACCACACUGGCACUGACACACGGGCCAGACUCCUACGGGAGGCAGCAGUGGGGGAAUUUUGGGUCAAUGGGCGCAAAGCCUGACCCAGCAACGCCGCGUGAGGGAGG
rnacentral:rRNA from 1 species